UACGUAGGGUGCAAGCGUUAAUCGGAAUUACUGGGCGUAAAGCGUGCGCAGGCGGUUCGCUAAGACCGAUGUGAAAUCCCCGGGCUUAACCUGGGAACUGCAUUGGUGACUGGCGGGCUAGAGUAUGGCAGAGGGGGGUAGAAUUCCACGUGUAGCAGUGAAAUGCGUAGAGAUGUGGAGGAAUACCGAUGGCGAAGGCAGCCCCCUGGGCCAAUACUGACGCUCAUGCACGAAGGCGUGGGGAGCAAACAGG
rnacentral:rRNA from 1 species